rfam:Oxytricha trifallax strain JRB310 Contig1378.1 macronuclear, whole genome shotgun sequence.
GGGGGCAUGGCGUAAUUGGUAGCGCGUCUGACUCCAGAUCAGAAGGCUGGGUGUUCGAGUCACUCUGUCCUCA